rnacentral:rRNA from 1 species
UACGUAGGGUGCGAGCGUUGUCCGGAAUUAUUGGGCGUAAAGAGCUUGUAGGCGGUUUGUCGCGUCUGCUGUGAAAUCUCAAGGCUCAACCUUGAGCUUGCAGUGGGUACGGGCAGACUAGAGUGCGGUAGGGGAGACUGGAAUUCCUGGUGUAGCGGUGGAAUGCGCAGAUAUCAGGAGGAACACCGAUGGCGAAGGCAGGUCUCUGGGCCGCAACUGACGCUGGAGGAGCGGAAAAGCAUGGGGAGCGAAACAGG